rnacentral:rRNA from 1 species
AACGAACGCUGGCGGCAUGCCUAACACAUGCAAGUCGAACGAGACCUUCGGGUCUAGUGGCGCACGGGUGCGUAACGCGUGGGAACCUGCCCUUAGGUUCGGAAUAACUCCCCGAAAGGGGUUCUAAUACCGGAUAAUGUCUUCGGCCCAAAGAUUUAUCGCCUUUGGAUGGGCCCGCGUUGGAUUAGCUAGUUGGUAGGGUAAAAGCCUACUAAGGCGAAGAUCCAUAGCUGGUCUGAGAGGAUGAUCAGCCACACUGGGACUGAGACACGGCCCAGACUCCUACGGGAGGCAGCAGUGGGGAAUAUUGGACAAUGGGCGAAAGCCUGAUCCAGCAAUGCCGCGUGAGUGAUGAAGGCCUUAGGGUUGUAAAGCGCUUUUAACCGGGAUGAUAAUGACAGUACCGGGAGAAUAAGCACCGGCUAACUCCGUG